rnacentral:rRNA from 1 species
GAUGAACGCUGGCGGCGUGCCUAAUACAUGCAAGUCGAGCGAACAGACGAGGAGCUUGCUCCUCUGACGUUAGCGGCGGACGGGUGAGUAACACGUGGAUAACCUACCUAUAAGACUGGGAUAACUUAGGGAAACCGGAGCUAAUACCGGAUAAUAUAUUGAACCGCAUGGUUCAAUAGUGAAAGACGGUUUUGCUGUCCCUUAUAGAUGGAUCCGCGCCGCAUUAGCUAGUUGGUAAGGUAACGGCUUACCAAGGCAACGAUGCGUAGCCGACCUGAGAGGGUGAUCGGCCACACUGGAACUGAGACACGGUCCAGACUCCUACGGGAGGCAGCAGUAGGGAAUCUUCCGCAAUGGGCGAAAGCCUGACGGAGCAACGCCGCGUGAGUGAUGAAGGUCUUCGGAUCGUAAAACUCUGUUAUUAGGGAAGAACAAAUGUGUAAGUAACUAUGCACGUCUUGACGGUACCUAAUCAGAAAGCCACGGCUAACUACGUG